rfam:Camelus ferus unplaced genomic scaffold scaffold1408, whole genome shotgun sequence.
GGAGGGUACAGCUCAGUGAUAGAGCACGUGUUUAGCACGCACGAGGUCCUGGGUUCAAUCCCCAGCAUCUCCA